ensembl:snRNA U6 U6 spliceosomal RNA
GGGCUCACUUCAGCAGCACAGGUACUAAAAUUGAAACCAUUUACAGAAGAUUAGCAUGACCACUGCACAAGAAUGACAUGCAAAUUCACGAAGAAAAGGCAGAGCAUUCCUUU